rnacentral:ribozyme from 1 species
GGUCCGCAUUUUGGAAAAUACACACCAUUUGCUUCUUUUGCGACGACGCAUUCUCCAAAUUCGACACCCGGGUUUGUUUG